rnacentral:tmRNA from 1 species
GGGGACGACUGGUUUUGACAGCAAGAUCAGUAGAUUUGUAAGCAUACCAAGGAAUGAAAUUAUUCUUGUAAAACUUAUUUCACCUUUUUAAACGGCGAAGAUAACUACGCUUUAGCUGCUUAAUCCGAAAUAUAGUAGGAUUGGCCUAGGCACACAAGGUGUGCAAGCUUUAUGUCCACGAAAAGCCUUGGUUUAUGGCGUUUCAUAUUAGGGCAUCGUAAAUAUAAACAUAGAAAACCUGAAACUUCGGCGGGUUUUUGAAACUAAAGAAGUUAAGUUAAAAGUAGGUUGUUUUUGAUCAUCUUUUAAACGAAAACCAAUCAAAAACUAAGUAUGUAGAAAGCUUUUUGACUGCUUGUUUGGACCCGAGUUCGAUUCUCGGCGUCUCCACUU